GCGGCGGACGGUGAUAACACUGGUAACCUGCUGAAGACUGGGUAACUCCGGGAAACCGGGGCUAAUACCGGUGCUUGUUGAACCGCAUGGUUCAGACAUAAAAGGUGGCUUCGGCUACCACUUACAGAUGGACCCGCGGCGCAUUAGCUAGUUGGUGAGGUAACGGCUCACCAAGGCAACGAUGCGUAGCCGACCUGAGAGGGUGAUCGGCCACACUGGGACUGAGACACGGCCCAGACUCCUACGGGAGGCAGCAGUAGGGAAUCUUCCGCAAUGGACGAAAGUCUGACGGAGCAACGCCGCGUGAGUGAUGAAGGUUUUCGGAUCGUAAAGCUCUGUUGUUAGGGAAGAACAAGUGCCGUUCAAAUAGGGCGGCACCUUGACGGUACCUAACCAGAAAGCCACGGCUAACUACGUGCCAGCAGCCGCGUU
rnacentral:rRNA from 2 species